rnacentral:rRNA from 1 species
UACGUAGGACCCAAGCGUUAUCCGGAAUUACUGGGCGUAAAGAGUUGCGUAGGUGGCAGAGUAAGUCUCAAUAUAAAGACGACGGCUCAACCGUCGGACCUAUUGGGAAACUGCUCAGCUUGAGGAUGAGAGAGGUCACUGGAAUUCCUAGUGUAGGAGUGAAAUCCGUAGAUAUUAGGAGGAACACCAAUGGCGUAGGCAGGUGACUGGCUCAUUCCUGACACUAAGGCACGAAAGCGUGGGGAGCGAACGGG